rnacentral:rRNA from 1 species
UACGUAGGGUGCAAGCAUUAUCCGGAGUGACUGGGCGUAAAGAGUUGCGUAGGUGGUUUGUUAAGUGAAUGGUGAAAUCUGGCGGCUCAACCGUACAGACUAUUAUUCAAACUGGCAAACUCGAGAAUGGUAGAGGUAACUGGAAUUUCUAGUGUAGGAGUGAAAUCCGUAGAUAUUAGAAGGAACACCAAUGGCGUAGGCAGGUUACUGGACCAUCUCUGACACUGAGGCACGAAAGCGUGGGGAGCGAACCGGAUUAGAAA